rnacentral:rRNA from 1 species
GGACCCGCACAAGCGGUGGAGCAUGUGGUUUAAUUCGAAGCAACGCGAAGAACCUUACCUGAUCUUGACAUCCCGGUGAUAUAAGGGUAAUGCCUUAGUUCCUACGGGACACCGGUGACAGGUGGUGCAUGGUUGUCGUCAGCUCGUGUCGUGAGAUGUUGGGUUAAGUUCCGCAACGAGCGCAACCCCUAUCAUUAGUAGCCAGCACGUAAAGGUGGGCACUCUAAAGAGACUGCCAGGGACAACUUGGAGGAAGGUGGGGAUGACGUCAAAUCAUCAUGCCCCUUACGACCAGGGCUACACACGUGCUACAAUGGCGUAAACAAAGGGAAGCGACCCCGUGAGGGCGAGCAAAUCUCAAAAAUAACGUCUCAGUUCGGAUUGUAGUCUGCAACUCGACUACAUGAAGCUGGAAUCGCUAGUAAUCGCGAAUCAGCAUGUCG